rnacentral:rRNA from 1 species
UGGGGAAUCUUGCACAAUGGGGGAAACCCUGAUGCAGCGACGCCGCGUGAGCGAUGAAGCCCUUCGGGGUGUAAAGCUCUUUCGACCGGAACGAUAAUGACGGUACCGGGAGAAGAAGCUGCGGCUAACUACGUGCCAGCAGCCGCGGUAAUACGUAGGCAGCGAGCGUUGUUCGGAGUUACUGGGCGUAAAGCGUGCGUAGGCGGUUUUCCAAGUUUGGUGUGAAAUCUCCCGGCUUAACCGGGAGGGUGCGCCGAAAACUGGGAGGCUGGAGUAUGGGAGAGGUAGGCGGAAUUCCUGGUGUAGCGGUGAAAUGCGUAGAUAUCAGGAGGAACACCUGUGGUGUAGACGGCUUACUGGACCAUGACUGACGCUGAGGCACGAAAGCGUGGGGAGCAAA